rnacentral:rRNA from 1 species
UACAGAGGUCUCAAGCGUUGUUCGGAUUCAUUGGGCGUAAAGGGUGCGUAGGUGGCGGGGUUAGUCAGGUGUGAAAUCUCGGGGCUCAACCCCGAAACUGCACUUGAUACUGCCUUGCUAGAGUACUGGAGAGGAGAUUGGAAUUUACGGUGUAGCAGUGAAAUGCGUAGAUAUCGGGAGGAACACCAGUGGCGAAGGCGGCUCUCUGGGCAGAUACUGACGCUGAGACGCGAAAGCGUGGGGAGCAAACAGG